rnacentral:rRNA from 1 species
AAAUUGAAGAGUUUGAUCAUGGCUCAGAUUGAACGCUGGCGGCAGGCCUAACACAUGCAAGUCGAACGGUAACAGGAAGCAGCUUGCUGCUUUGCUGACGAGUGGCGGACGGGUGAGUAAUGUCUGGGAAACUGCCUGAUGGAGGGGGAUAACUACUGGAAACGGUAGCUAAUACCGCAUAACGUCGCAAGACCAAAGAGGGGGACCUUUGGGCCUCUUGCCAUCGGAUGUGCCCAGAUGGGAUUAGCUAGUAGG